UUAGGGUUUUCAGUGGGUCUGCGUCCGUACUUUCAAGGGUUUUCAAACUUUCUUUUUUCUUUUUAUUUCCUUUUCAGCAGUGGUUUUUUCCCUUUGUAGUGUUUUUGAGCUCUCUUUCCUGAGGCUCGACCCCUUGUCUACGCCUGUGCUUUUAAGGUUUUUUCAAAUUUUCUUUUUUCUCAAUAAAUUUUCCAUUUCAGCAGCAAUCUAUUUUUUUUUUAUAUAUACUAACACUAUCUCUACAAAUUGUAUAUUUAUUCUACUUACAACAACUUUAACAAUAAUCUGUAUCCAUCUUCAAAUAAAGACUCUUUUUUGUGGACGAAAAGAGUAUUAUUAUUGUAGACGAUGUAAUAUCUCAACUAACAUACAAUAUUUGAUGACGAAGAUCAAUGAAUAUCAAUCGAAUUCAAACGAAAAAUUAAAUUAAUUCAAGUGGAGCACGCUCUAAUGAUUUUGCUUAUUGUUCAUCGAGAACAAUACUUAUUCUUCGAGCUUCUUCUGGCCUGUGAGACGAUCUCAUCGAGAAUGAUAAUGAGAGCGACGAUGAAGGCACAAUCAACGUUCGGGUACACCGUCAUAUUAAACCUAUCCUCGCCG
rnacentral:lncRNA from 1 species